UACGGAGGGGGCUAGCGUUGUUCGGAAUUACUGGGCGUAAAGCGCACGUAGGCGGAUAUUCAAGUCGGGGGUGAAAUCCCGGGGCUCAACCCCGGAACUGCCUUCGAUACUGGAUGUCUUGAGGUCUGGAGAGGUGAGUGGAAUUCCGAGUGUAGAGGUGAAAUUCGUAGAUAUUCGGAGGAACACCAGUGGCGAAGGCGGCUCACUGGCCAGAUUCUGACGCUGAGGUGCGAAAGCGUGGGGAGCAAACAGG
rnacentral:rRNA from 1 species